AGAGUCAAAAAUCUAGGUGUCACUCAUGAUCAGGUGUGAGGCAGGAAAGGUUUAAAAGAAUUGUUUUCUAAGAGGAAUCAGAUAACAGCAGUUGCUCUGAACCAAACCAAGAACAGCGAUAACGUUAAAGUUAUAUUUAACUCCCAACUGUCGCCCCUUUUUAUAGAUCCUGUUGGUGAAGGCUAUGCCGCGUCAGCUGCACUGGCUGUGAAAACUAUGUGAGCCAGUAUUAAUUUACGUCACUCUGAAUGCGAGUCUCACGACCUCCUUUUACUCAGCUUGUCUACCGUACGACAUUUCAAAAGUACCGCGAUUGAGCUUAAGAUUGUUGAAGGGAUAACAGUUCAUAACGUCGCUAUGUUUCAAAGUCCAACUGCUCCAGAUCUACUGCCCCAUUUUUACGUCCUGGUGUACGAGUGCGUUUACACGUGGUAUAGUCGCGCCCCUGAACGCUAGUGAGCAACCAGCCCAGCUGGUCUAUUAGCAUUUUAGCUUAGCCUCACCGUUUUCAACCAUGUGGUUGGAUUAGAGCCAGCAAACGGAAACACGCCUGACACGAAUGUUACCGUCAAUUACGGACAAAGGAUUACAACGUAUUUCAUAACGCCGCCACAAUUUAUAUCAUUGACGAGUGUUAGUUAUAAAAACACAAAAUAAAUCCUGGGAAUUAUGUGGCGGACAUUUUGUUUGGCCUCUUCAGCCAUGUAAAAUGCAUAUCUACAUUAACCGACUAGGCUAGCUGGGAGCUAACCAGCUACAACGAGUAUAGGAAAUUUCGAGCAAAAAUGGACAAAUGGCCACAUACAGGUUAAAGUUUAUUCGAAUCAAUAACAGGCGGAAUUAAACGACACGAUACGUUAGCUGACUGAAUACAUUUCGCAUUUAACAUGAUCAAAUGCCGUCGCAGAAACAGGUCCUCUCGAAUGAACAAAGGGACUAGCAGCUAACAUUAGCUCCCAUUCGACGGAACAGUGUGUAUAAAGAAUUAAUUGUGUUUAUUAGAGUCAUUGUUUUAAACCCUGUAUGUAAUACUCGCUAUGUCCCUGGUGUAUUCUACUACAGUCUGACACCGUCGUGAUGUAUUUCCGUUCACAACGUUAGUCCAGGAUGCAUCAAGUCCCAACUUCCAAGGGCCGUACAUGUGAUUACCAACCGGCAACAUGGCAAUCAAUGGCGAAUACUGUACUGUGUGGCCCAGUAACAGCGCGUCGAAUGUCAGACCACUCGAAACAGGGAGGCGUGGACUGAACAAUUCACCAAGGUGGACCUGGCAGGAUGGGGAAAGCAGAGAUAAAGAGAUUGAUCAGACCAUAGAGAGCAGUCCAGGCGCUGCAUGUGUCAUCUUGAAGUUUUCAUCAGCGAAUGGACCUCUGUAGAUGCUGCAGAUACCAGUGCCGUCACCCUUAUCAGAAGGAAAUACAGUAAGAACACACAAGCUUUGAAAGUCUUGAACUUUUUUAAUCACAAAAUGUCAUUCAUUAUUCAUCCUCCAGAGGGCGACAGACCAUAGUGUUUUCCGCUUGCUUAGUUUGUCAGCCACCACAUAAGGUUUGUGUAAUCAAACGGUGGGAAAUAAUUAUUAAAUAAAAUUACAUGAAAUAAAGAAUUGUUUUAUUAAUUCUUUUAAUUGUUCAUCUGGUCAACUGUGUAUCAAAUCAAGUAAUACCAUUCAGAGCAAGUCAACAUUAACACACUAUUAUAAUUUAUACAUUUAAAAUCCUAGAAAUAAUAAUUAUUUUAAAAAGUAACAUGGUUAAUGGGUUUGACAUGUAAUAAGGAUUAUAGAUUUGAUACAACCAAAGAUUCAAGAGCAUUAUUGAAUGUGUUUACUGGGAGUUUUUGUAGCUAUCUGGCUCUAAACUAUUUAUGAUCGAAUUUUAUUUAUUUGCAGAAACUGAACUGACUUUUUUUUCUGUCUGACUGACCCUUAUCACCUUUCACAACAGAAACGCACGCAGCCAACUGGAUCCCUCAGGUAUCCCUCAGAUAGAGUCACUCCAGGAGUCAGUUAGAACUGAAGACGCUUUUUGGACGAGAUGUAAAACGUCUUCUAGAAACCAAGACAUUCCAGUUGUCCUCUGCUCAACAGCAAGGUGACAUGGACGACUGAUAACCUUCACAGAGGUACAGCAUCCAACAUUUUCCCUCACACACCCUCUACCAGGUAGUGUUGUUGCAAUUCAUGUUAUUAUUCUAUCAUAUAAAAUGAGUUGACUACAUUUGUAAAUACAUCUGUAUCAAGAGGAGCUUUGUUUUGGUUUGGCCUGAACAAAGAUUUACAUAUAAACAAAAGAGUAUGCUGGAAUGUCCCCAAACACUGACCAGCAGCUUGU